UUCGUUCGAUCUUUUGAUUGUAUUUCGUUUGGAUUUGAAGAAGCUUUGAAGACGUUUCCUGAUGCCGGAGGAGAAGACGAGCAGCUUUGGACCUUUGCGAUCCACCAACCACUGGAACACAUCUCCAAAGUUCUGCCGGGCCAGCUCAGCCUCCCCUCAGAAGGAGCCAGAUGAAGGAGCCUUUUGAGAGGCAGCUGGCAUCGUGAUUGGACUGUACUUUGGUCUGUUCCAGUCCAGCUUCAGCUCCAGAGACAGCAGGCGGGACGAGUCAACGGAGGCCGGGUGGACGAAGGCAUGAAGCUGAGUACAACCCAGAAAACAACAGAGGAGGAGUGCAGCAGCCCAGGGCCAGAACAGAGUAGGAUAGUCUGUCUCUUAGAAAACAUCAUAAUAUAGCCUUUGGGAUGAAAAAAAUGGCACAAUAUACAUGGUAUAUUGUACAAAUAACAAGUCAAAGUAAAGAGACAUACAUUGUAGAAUUGUAGUAAUUGUGGGCUGACUGAUUUACUGAUUAUCAGUAUUUUAUAUUUUACUGAUUUACGGUAAUAAAUCAAUUUAAAAAUGCUGCUA